rfam:Octopus bimaculoides Scaffold41718_contig_76, whole genome shotgun sequence.
GCCGAAAUAGCUCAGUUGGGAGAGCGUUAGACUGAAGAUCCAAAGGUCCCUGGUUCAAUCCCUGGUUUCGGCA